AAAUCUGAUACCUGUAACUUCCCAAUCAGUUCUCUGAUGUGAUACUCCUCAGAGCUCUACAUUAUAUGGAUGAGGAAGAGCCGCGGCGGUUAAUCCGAAAUCUUGAGCCACAUCGAAUUCAACUCACAAAGCCAUUUAGGCUUGUUCUUGUCUUGAUGAGGUGUAGUGGAUCCACCAACAUUUGAAGAGAAGCGCUUAAUAACCAUUGGUCUACCUGAUGUCGAAAACAACUAGAAAUGUUCGGUCUAUCUGAUUAAGUCCAGAUGAGACCGGGGGCUGCUCUACGCCUCUACUUGUUGGAUGAGGAAGAGCCACCAUGCUACUGCCUUUACUCUACAGAAGAUAUUAGGUUCUUACUUUCAGUGUAACGUAAAUGUUUGAUUAUGUGAUACACAUCGAUAAGUGACAACACCGCGCACCAAAGGUCUCAAAAAAAAAAAAAAAAUGGUUGAGUUCUUAUUUGAUACUCAAGAAGUCAAGAUCCACACGAGUUUUACAUUCAAUUAAGUUUCAUUGCCUACACUACCAAAACUAACCCUUAGAAGUAUCUUCUCCUGCAUGAAUAUUGAAUAGAGAGACGAGUAAUGUCCCAUGUAAAGAUUGAGGGUAGUUUUGAAGUUAGGUAUCCAUAGCAACUCCCAAAUGAUAUACUCAACUGCUGCAAUGAAUAGUUAGAAAAUGCAUCGAGAUGUUUGCGAGUAAAAUGUGAGGAAGAAAGUACGCAGAACACAAAAAAAAGUCUUGGAUUUGGUUUGGAAAAACAGAGUAACUAAUUUCAAUCUUCUUAACCCAAACUGACCAUCAGGAAAACUAUGCUGUAAUCUAAACUUGUAACUGGCCUAGUUGCGAAGUGUUGGCAAAUUCAUGGCGAGAUGUAUAAAAUUCAUUAGCAACCGUGAAAGCUUGGUAAGAUCUUCAGUUUAAUAGAAUCAAUACCGACAUCAUAGCUAUUCAUCUUUUGUUGAUGUAACUAGACUGAUCGGAGUGAGAAGAAGAAGAGGAAUUUGUCAUCACCAUUUGCAAACUCAUAAUCUAUCUGUUUUAGUGGAGAGAAAAAAGGCCCCAGUUUUUUUAGUGUGUUCGGGAAGCCUCGAUUGACCGUAGCCGUGGAACCCAGAUAAUUGUCUUCGUUGUUUCACAGUAUCAGGUGCAUCAUCGAUCAAGCUCUCAGAUACCAAGGUUGGGCUGAUAACAAGUUGUAAAAGGUUUGGUUUGGUUUACAGAGUUUCUGGGGAAUAUUUGAUAUACAAUUUGGGAUCUUCAAUUAUGGAUUUGAUCUAGUAUUUCGGAUUUUGAUCGUAAGAUUUCGGAGCAAGGUUUGGGUUUGUUUCGGAAGAGGUUACUGCUAGAAUUUUGAUCGAGUUUGGGAGGAAGCUUUCAAUAGGUGUAUGUGUUUGAUUUUUUUUUCUUUUUCUUUUCUUUCAGUUGUCGAAAAUUGUGGUUUUCAGUGAGUUUUUUGUGUUUGAAUUUUGUGUAUUUGUAUAUUAAAAUGUGAAUGACGGUGAUUUCGGUUUAAGAUUUGGUUUGAAUGGAGAUGAGAGUGAUGAUGGUUUUGUUAUCGAAGUUGAUUGAACCAGAAAAGGGUAGCUGCCAAUAGUAGAGGUUAUUGAACUGUUUUUCUGAAUGACUGGUUUAAUUUUGUUUAUAUGUGGUUUCUGGAAUUGUAUUGCCCAAGUUUUUUUUUUUCUAUGUUAUUUUUGUUAAAGAAAAAAGUGAAUGGUAUAUUUUUACCGUAGAAUUAAGGGUUAGAAUGAUGCAACUGUAAAAAUAAGAAAGAAGAAGAAGAAAGUAGCGGGGUUUUCAGAAAUAAAUCCUUAAUCGAAUCAAAUGAGAGACAGAUGGUGAGGUUGCUGAUAACCUGCUUGAUCAAGCUACUAGCAGUUUAGAAAUUUUCAUACUUUGUUCUCACUUCUCAGACCCUUAGAAGCAAGUUUGGCAAUCAUAAGAAACUGUGUGACAUUCUUAUUCCAAUGGCAAUGCGAAUGUGAAUGGAAAUCAAAAUGGAGUGAAUGGAGAAGACCAUCAAAUACUAAAUAACUGCUAGAAGAGCUACUGGUACGAGGAAUAAAUCGAAGAAAACUUAAGAUGCAGCUUUCCUCUUAAGAGCAGCUAAAUCAAUGGCUGUGGGACAUUAUGGAUGAGUUUGUGUACCAGUUUCAGAGCUUCUGUCAGUAUAGGGCUAAGAUGAAGAACAAGACUGAGCAGGAGACUACUUUUCUCAGACAGUUUGAUCAAAUCUUGAAGAAAAAGAUUGAUCUAUUUGAGCUCCGGUGAUAUGGCUAUUGCAUGUUUAGAGCUCUAGCAUGCUUGCAUAAACAGGGUGUGGUGCACAGAGAUGUUAAGCCCGGAAACUUCCUCUUCUCUCAGAAGCUAAGCAAAGGUUACCUGAUUAAUUUCAACCUUGCCAUGGUUUGGCAAACGGCUUCUCUGUGCCAUUUGGUUCACACAGCAGCUCUUCUUGCUGCGCCCCUCACAAAAAACCCCAAUAUUGCCUUUUAACUACUGGUAUACUCGCAUUCUCGGGGACGUUUUAAAUUGCAAGACCUGGUAUAGAUAGUCUACUGGUCUUCGCUAAAUUGCAAGAUCAGGUAGCAAGGUGAAAAGCUUACCUGCUGUGUGUCGACGUUUCCGCGUUGUUCCCCAUGCGCGUGGUGAGUGUUCUUGGAACUUCUGGACUGUACAUGUCAGGAUCAUAUGUUGAGCAAAGACCUUAGACACAGAGUUUCAGAUGAUUCUACUAAAACAGGGAAGGGUAGGAGACUUGGAGAGGGGGGGGUUGGCUAUUUGAAACAUUUUUACCUAAACACUUGGUGAUAUAAUUCUGCUCUGCUUUUCAAGACAUUCUGCUGCAUAUAUCAACAGAGUGACAGCCCAUCGCAUCUCAUCAACGCAGAAGAUGCAUCAACAGCAGACGAACCAACUGAUAAAACAUUAGAAGAACUCAUGUGAAGUAAUUGGUUUGAACUAAAAAAAAUGCAUAAAAAUUCAUUACAAAAAGCUUAAGGCACGAUUCAUCGAUCAAAUUAAGAGACUAGCUAUUCGACAGCAUUGCUCUUCCUGAUCCUCUUCUUUAUGUCAGAAAGCUACAUCACAAGAUCAGGAGUUGGUGAACUCAUCCUUUCAACACAGUCCUCAUGUGGAAGCUAUGAGUCCCCCUUCUUUCUUAAAGAACGACCUGGACGUUUUGAAUACAUUGAAAAAGGACUCAAAGGAAAUGGACAUAUGGUUAUCCUGAUUGCUGACAGAGCAGGACUUUUUGAAUACAUCAGUGCUACCUUCC